GGCUCAGUGUUCGUUCGACAGCGUCGUAGGCAAGUCAGUGGUGCCCCGAGCGCGCCGUCACGCCGACAAAGAUUUUAGAGAGAUCCCGCUCGAACUGAAACCGCUGCACAUCUAAAUUACGAUGGGCUUCGGCAGGGAGAUGGAUGGCUGUGGCCAAUGUAUGAAGUACAGCAUGUUUGUGGCUAACUUCAUAAUAUUUAUUGGUGGUCUGGUUGUUUUGGGAAUUGGAAUAUGGACACUAGUUGACAAAUCCUAUGUUAAUGAGCUUCUUGGAACUGAUUUGUUCAUGGGAGCUGUCUAUAUACUAAUAGUAACUGGUGCUAUUGUGUCCUUAAUAGCAUUUCUUGGCUGUCUUGGAGCAGUAAAGGAAGUCCGUUGCAUGUUGCUCAUGUACUUCAUUAUAGUGUUCCUGAUAUUCAUUACAAUGCUUAUUGGAGGAAUUCUAGGAUAUGUUUUCCGUGAAAAAGUUAAAACUACAAUGUACAAAGAAAUGGAAAGUUCAAUUAGGAGGUACCAUGAGAAUCCAGAAGUGCAAAGGGCAUGGGACAACACUCAAAUUAAUCUGAAAUGUUGCGGAAUCCAAGACCACAGCAGCUGGGGAGAUGAACUGCCAAACAGUUGCUGCAAAGUAAAGACAAGUACUUUCUGCAACCCAUGGGAAUCUGGCUGCCUUGAAAAAGCUGAAAAAUUUGUGCAAGAUCAUGCAACUGUGAUUGGUGGUGCUGGUAUAGGUGUAGCAUGUAUCAUGUUGCUGGGGAUGAUUUUCUCAUGUGCACUGUUUAUGAUGAUUGAAUAAAACCCCACUUCUAAAUCAGUGUUCAUGAUUGGAACACAAUGUGUGUUGUGUAAAGGGAGUUUAAUUAAAUCGGAGAACUUAACCAGAUAGUGUGUUCCUGUAAAUAUCUGUAGCUACGAAUGCUACAGAAAAGAAAAUGUAAAGGAUGUUUAACUUCAUGCCAGACAUGAAAUUUAUAGUGGAAUUGUCAUCUGUUAAGAAAAAGUGAUGGUUUUACAAGACAGUGAAGUGUCCUGUAAGCUUAAGACCAGUGAUUUUCAUCUUAAUAUAAACAACACGCACAAAUUUAAAUAUUGCUUUGUACAUAUUCAUAUAUAUGAAUUGUGGACUGCUGUAGUGUGUCAGUAUUAAUCUCUGUAUACAAAAUAUGGCUUUUCAUACUACUUUACACCAACAUUCCUUUAUGAAUCUGUGUUUAGAAAUAUUCUACAAGAAUUUAAUUUAUUAUUAAAAAUGUUAAUUAUACUGGCAGUAUGCUCUUGCCAGUUUGCAGUUACUUUAAUUCUCUUUAACUCUAUUGUCUGCACAUCAUCACACUCAUUUUCUAGAUAUUUAAAAUAAUUCUUGUGUAAAAUCACUAUUAUUUCAUUUUGCAAGAAGGUAACUAUUACCCACAUUCAUUAUGUGGGUAUAGGAAAGCACCAACCUUACUUACUCUUCAUUUUAUGUCAGUGGCAAAACAUAUUUAGUUAUUGGCACAUUGUCUAUAAGGAGCUAUUACCUCUUUCAUGUUAAAGUUGAAUUUUCACUUUAGAAAGUGAACAUUCUGUUUGUGAAGUGGAUUAUUUUGAUAGUGCUUCACUACUGCAAAAAUAGGAAGCAUGGGUGAUAGCAUGGAUAGUAAAGCACAAUGCAAUGUCACAUUUGAUUUCUCAAUAACUCUGUGUGUGUGUGUGUGUGUGUGUGUGUGUGUGUGUGUGUGUGUGUGUGUAAACAAAAUGUUAUGGUGUCAACCCAUUUCCUUAAAAAAUGUUCUUUGUACCUGAUGCUCUUGUCAGUAAAAGGUAAGUGAAAGUUUUUGUUCAGGCAUGUUAAGUUUUUCUUUCUUACAUAGUAGUAGUGAAGAACAUGCUUAAAGUGAACUUUCUGUAGUUGAUAAAAUGUUAAAAUGAAAUGUGCUGCAAAUUCAACAUAACAAUGAAGAAGUUUUUUAUUUUAUUGAGUACUGACCACUGUAUCAUAUGAAGAACACCCAUUAACUAGACACCUGUGUUAAAUUUUUGUACUGAUGUAACAGUUGAAGAGAGUGCAUUUUAAAUAAAGGAGAAUGUGUGAAAAUAUGUAAUAUACAAAUAAAGAAAUUAAUAUUUAAAAAA